GCGGGUGGAUUGGGGGUGGCGCGGGGUACCCGGUGUCCGGCGGCGAACGGUCCGGGCGCUUUGGUACCACCGAUAGAAGGUAUAAUUACGCUACCGGGUAUAAAUUGACUCUGUGUACCACUGAAUCAUACUGAAUAUUUGUAAUGUGUUCCUUCCCUAAUAGAUGCUCUCUAUGAAUAGAGAGAGUGCCUAUUUACUCUGAAAUACUUGGCACAGUGAGUGGAGUCUGAAGCAUGGAAGAAGUGGCUAUUAUUUUCCCACUGCCUGUGUGCAGCUGUCAUUUCUGAGCAACACGUUCCUCGUUCCUCGCACAUCCCAGCUUCCAACCUUCCUGAUGGUCCGCCCCAGGAUUACAACAAGAAGAGAAUGGCAUGCCACCUCAUUCAGCCAAAACCUUAACACUGUGGGUGAUGUGCAGUGAAGGCUCAGCCCUCCUUCCUUCCCAUAUCCCAGAUCCUCGGAGAGAGAAGAGGCAGAACAGUUCCUCAAGCCAGCAUGACGCUUUGCUUCAGAGACACUGUAGGAAGGACUGUGCCAUUCUGGCAGAGAUGAAGAACAAUUAUUCUUUCUGUUGUUGAACCUUCUCUUCAGGAAAUGACAUGUACCAGGGAGAUGAAUGAUCUUGAACUUUAUGUGUGUCCGGCACAUAUGCCACCAUCUGGGAUAUGCCACCAACUAUAGGAAGCAACCUAUGUGAAAAUGAAGAAUGUGCUACAAAUGCAAUGGUCUUUUUCAAGAAUUUCUGCUUCCCAGAGAAAUUUGAAAAUCCUGCUUCAGCACCAGCUGGGCUAUGGUAGGCAGUCUGGCCAGGAAUAUUGGCAGAAAUGUGAAAUCUCUUCAGUCCCAUGCGUGGUCUUCUAGCAACCCAUGUGGAGGCGAUGUGGUGUUUGCAGGCACACAGGAGCAGCUCCAGCCAUGUUGCCCCUGCAGCUGCUGCCAAAAUCUGGCUUGCCAGUGUGGUAAAUCUGGAACUGCUGAUGAUUGGCACUGCAAGACUUGCAUGAAUGGGUGA
rnacentral:lncRNA from 1 species